GGAAUGUCGAGAGAGGAAUUGAAAGUGAAAAGUGUCUUACCUUGAGACGUGCGCAGACGAAAACUCACUUGACAAAUGAUGGCGAUUCACUGGUCACAAACAGUUUUAUAUUUACAGGCCGGAAAUGUUUACGUAAAGCGCUCUUCGCCGUCGAUUCUAUAAUCUACAUACAAUAGAUCAAUGAAUACACCGGCAGCGCUAGCUUAUGGCUGAGCCAUAAGUUUAUUACCUCGCCAUAAGCACUUCGCCGUCGACCAAUUGGAUUAUACAGACAGAAAGAGACGUUCGGAGAAGAGGACAGGAGAAGCAGUUAUGCUACAGCUCCCCAAUAUCUGUACCCCAAUGAAGAUGCAGUAUCUUUAUCUAAAGCAUUGAUGGAGUUGAAUAGCAUUUAAAAUAGAUAUGGAAUACGGGAUCCAGAAGAUGUUAUCUAGUAUAGGGGGACUUACUCUUUUUUUCAUUGGAUAGGAAUAAAUACAUAGGUCUAAU